ACGGGUGGUAAUGCCGGAUGCUCCGACUCCUCGCAUGGGGUGUCGGGAAAGAUUCUAUCGGUAUGGGAUGGGGUCGCGUCCUAUCAGGUAGUCGGCGGGGUAACGGCCCACCGAGCCUACGACGGGUAGCCGGCCUGAGAGGGCGACCGGCCACAUUGGGACUGAGAUACGGCCCAGACUCCUACGGGAGGCAGCAGUGGGGAAUAUUGCACAAUGGGCGCAAGCCUGAUGCAGCGACGCCGCGUGCGGGAUGACGGCCUUCGGGUUGUAAACCGCUUUUGAUCGGGAGCAAGCCUUCGGGUGAGUGUACCUUUCGAAUAAGCACCGGCUAACUACGUGCCAGCAGCCGCGGUAAUACGUAGGGUGCAAGCGUUAUCCGGAAUUAUUGGGCGUAAAGGGCUCGUAGGCGGUUCGUCGCGUCCGGUGUGAAAGUCCAUCGCUUAACGGUGGAUCUGCGCCGGGUACGGGCGGGCUGGAGUGCGGUAGGGGAGACUGGAAUUCCCGGUGUAACGGUGGAAUGUGUAGAUAUCGAAAAAGAACACCA
rnacentral:rRNA from 1 species